AGAGACAGCAGCAGCCGCGGUAAUACGGAGGGUGCAAGCGUUAAUCGGAAUUACUGGGCGUAAAGCGCACGCAGGCGGUUUGUUAAGUCAGAUGUGAAAUCCCCGAGCUUAACUUGGGAACUGCAUUUGAAACUGGCAAGCUAGAGUCUUGUAGAGGGGGGUAGAAUUCCAGGUGUAGCGGUGAAAUGCGUAGAGAUCUGGAGGAAUACCGGUGGCGAGGGCGGCCCCCUGGACAAAGACUGACGCUCAGGUGCGAAGGCGUGGGGAGCAAACAGGAUUAGAUACCCCUGUAGUCCCUGUCUCUUAUAC
rnacentral:rRNA from 1 species